GGCUCCUGGGACCCCAAGAUGGCGGCGGCGCUGAGGCGGCUGCGGGCGCUGGGCCGGCGGCGGCGGCGGCCACUUUCACUCACUGAGAGGAGCGGAGCAGGGACACGGGGAGCCAUGGCGGGGGGGAGGAGAGGCGCCAUAGCCAGGCCAGAACAAUCGAGCCGCUACUCAGCUACCUUACCCCCGCCCCGCCCACGCUCACAGAUCGUCGCCAGCCCGUGCCCUCCCGUAGUGCCGCUGCCGUCGGCCUCGUGCAGCUCGCACCCCGCCGCUGCUGCCUGACGCCCAGUGCGGACUGGG